AUUAAUAAGUUAACAUCAGAAAAAAAACUUAUGAUUGUGUUGCGUUCUCAUUUCUCAGCAUUAUAUCGCGUUUGACUUCUCUAAGUUCUCUUCUCUCUAAGUUCAUUUAGUUAUUGAAUUGCUGAUUUUCUAAUUUACUAGAGCAUCUUUAAGCUUAGUAUAAAAAAUGACGAAUAAAGAGGAUGGAGAUCGGGGUAAAUCAAAGGCGACUGCCGUAGCGGCUGUUAAUCUUGUGAGUCAAGUAUUAGAUGAAGCCUAUUGCAUUGCAAAUGCUGCCAAAGAUUCAGGUCAACCGUGGCUCUAUUUUUCAAUGAUUAAAAGUUUAAAACGUUGCAAAAAUAAUAUUGAUGAUGAAGAAACGUCGUUAGCAGUUCUGAAAGACGACAGCUACGCGAAUGAAAAUAAAACACAGCUGUCUGCCAACGUUCUUGCCACAUCAACUCCUCAAAAAGAUAACGUAGACCAAAGUUUUCUUGAAAGAGGGGAUGAAUUUAAUACAGGAAGAAAUGAAUUUAGUAAUUCGACUUCGCGAUUAAUCAACAAUUUUUUUGAAAUGAGUCAAAUCGACUGUAAUAUUUGCCGUGACGAUGCUAUUUUCGAUGGGACAGAACGAAUUCAACCGGCUGAAGUAUCCGAGAUAAUUUCGAAGAUUGACGCUUUGGAUAUUCAAUUGAAUGAAGCGUCUAAAGGUUCAACUGGAAGCAUAAAUCUGUCGGAUUUUUCAUUCUUAACCGAUGUUGCUGAUAUUGCAGCGAGUAUAGAAUCAUGCUUCCAGAAUAACAACGAAAGUAGUAGUAUUAAUCAUGACGAGGCAACAUCAACUGUCACUAAGAAAGACGACGUUUGUAAUUAUGAAGAAACGUAUUUAACAUUAAAUCGUGAUUAUGAACAUUUCUCUGAGGAUGAUGCUGAUGGUUUGUUUCCCCUUCUGAAAGAUACAAGGGGAUUAACAUUUCAGGAAGUUGAGCUACUCACCGCUUGUUCUGUUGAAAAUAUUUAUCCAAGUGCUAAGGAACGCACAAAUCGAGCUUCAACUCUUACAACUUCCGAAGUUAAUAAAGGUUUGCAGAGAGGUAGCGUAGUUCGACGAUGCCGCCUUCAAAGUUCGAAGCUUUUAUCUUCUUUAAGACGGUGGUGGGGAAGAAAGAAACGAAGUGCAACCCGUAGUGUAACCCAGAACCUUGCGCUCGACCACACUAUUAUAGAACACACAUCUGGAGCUCCUAUGUCUUCCGAGCUUUAAAACUUGAUAAAAAAGUAUUUCCACAGAAUAUUAGUGAUUAUUUUUUUGUAAAACAUAGUCUUACUUUUAAAUUUUAUGUUUUUAAAUAAAAUGUUCAUAGCUUA